UACAGAGGUCCCAAGCGUUGUUCGGAUUCACUGGGCGUAAAGGGUGCGUAGGCGGUCGGGUAAGUCUGGCGUGAAAUCUCCAAGCCUAACUUGGAAACUGCGUUGGAUACUAUCCGGCUCGAGGAAUGGAGGGGAGACUGGAAUACUUGGUGUAGCAGUGAAAUGCGUAGAUAUCAGGAGGAACACCAAUGGCGAAGGCAGCUCGCUGGGACGUGACUGACGCUGAGACGCGAAAGCGUGGGGAGCAAACAGG
rnacentral:rRNA from 1 species